UUGCCUCCAUUCCACGCCGCUAUCAAAGCAACCUGGGCUUCCAUAACACCUCUGAAGUGCAACAGGCUGAUUGCUUCCAUGCCACGCAGAAUUGAUGCAGUAAUUCAUGCAAAAG